AGGCCUAGUGUACUGCGUGAUCGUUGGCCUUGAAAACAGAAACGCGCGCGUAUGUUGCGCACAACUUGUGCGCGCUGCAAGCACCUUCGGCGCACGCGACUUGAGUUGAGGUGGCUUAGCCGCGUGCACUGUUAGUUUGCCUGCACGCGUUGCUCGGGGCGCGUCGCAUCGUUUCUUUUAUCAUCUGUGUUUUACUAGAAUUAUUUUGACUUCGCGCUUAUCGAGAUUUGUGUUUGUGAAAACUUGUAAUUCGCCACGUCUUGGAAGCGGAAUUCGAUCAAUAGUUACAAUCCAACAUCGACGGCAUGUGCUGGCUGCAAACCCCAUGGACAUCAAUUAAUAUUUGCCAUCAUUUCACUGGUAGGUACAAUUGAAUUAAUAUUUUCUUUUGAUUUUUCAUUUCUAAUUAACUUUGAUCUGGCUAUUGAAUACGGCGUAUUUGGUCGUUUUAUAUUCCCCUCGUUCGAGAAUAUUUCAACAUUAUGAAUAUUCGCUAGUACACACAAUAGAAUUGUUGUCGUUUUUGUCUCUGCGCGUUUAUCAAUGUGUGCCCCCGUGCCGUUACAGUAUUCAAGCGUGAAUUUAUUGUUUACAUUAGUUUCUAACUUGAAGGAAAGUUUUCUACAGUCAUUAUUUUUGACGAUUUAUUUCUAUUACGAAUAUCUCGUAAACUAAAAGAGAUAAUUAAGAACGAAUCUCAGCGCCUUAAUCUACGGACUAUUCCUGAUGUCGUAGGACAAUGUUUUUUUCACCAAAUUGUAGGUGUUUAGCGGCCGAACCUGAUGUCGUAGGACAAUGUUUUUUUCACCAAAUUGUGUCUAGCGGCCGAACCUGAUGUCUUAGGAUAACGAUUUUUUCACCAAAUUGU